rnacentral:rRNA from 1 species
UCGUAUAAAAUUCUAGGUAGAAUAAUGAUUAUGACAAUUUUUUAUCUAUAAGUCUUGACCAAAUUACGUGCCAGCAGUCGCGGUAAUACGUAGAAGACUAGUGUUAUUCAUCUUUAUUAGGUUUAAAGGGUACCUAGACGGGAAAUAAAGCCAUAAUAGGGACUAAUUUUCUAGAGUUUUAUAAGAGAAAGGGUGAAUUUCCGGAGGAAAGUUGAUAUUUUGUGAUACUGGAAGGACGGGUAACAGCGAAGGCAACUUUCUAUGUAAAAACUGACGUUGAGGGACGAAGCCUUGGGUAACGAGAAGGAUUAGAUACCCUAGUAGUCCUUGGAGAAAAUGAUGAAUGUCAUAUAUAAACGAAAGUGAAAGCAUUCCACCUCAUAAGUAAAGCGGCAACGCCUAAAUUGAAAUCAUUAGACCGUUUCUGAAACCAGUAGUGAAGUAUGUUAUUUAAUUCGAUGAUCCGCGAAUAACCUUACCACACAAGCGCUGCACGGCUGUCUUCAGUUAAUGUCGCGAGAUUUUGGUUUGUUCCAUAAAUUAACGAAAACCC